rnacentral:lncRNA from 1 species
CUCAGCUCCAUUUCCUCCCAUUAUACAGUAAUGGACCAACUGCUUCUUGCCCCUCUGAUGGCCCCAGAAAUCAGGAGUGUGAACAAAUGUGGAGGGAUGAACAUGGCAGCAGAAGGUGAAAGGGCUCUGUGGUUGUUGCCCAGCUAACAGUGUGUCUACUGUUGACAGUUUAUUCUCAUCAAGACAGUGCAGGCUCUGUGGAUCCUGUGUGAAUCUGUCCAUCACCUUGAAUGUCUGGCGAUCUUGACACCACGCUUCAUGGCCAGGCUGGACCCUCUACUAACUGCUGAGGUUUCACUGCUUGCUUCUGACCUCAGAGGACCUCUUCAUGCCAUCCAGACACCUUCACCUCCAUUGCGAAUUCCUGAUAUGCUGAUAUUCGUGGUUUCUUCCUCUACCUAGCCGCUUCGAGAGUGAGUCCAGCUACCACUGAUACUCCAGAGUCUGAAUUCUGCACUGCCAUGUGUGGGUGACAACUUGACCCCCUCUCUCCUCUGCAGGUGACCUGUUGGGGGUUUGUUUGAGAUUCAGUUGGCAUCUACAUGCCGAUUAAUAUAAAUGUAAACAGGAUUGAACAUUCUCAUGAGGGGAAUACCUCC